GACGAACGCUGGCGGCGUGCCUAAUACAUGCAAGUUGAGCGCUGAAGGUUGGUACUUGUACCAACUGGAUGAGCAGCGCACGGGUGAGUAACGCGUGGGGAAUCUGCCUUUGAGCGGGGGACAACAUUUGGAAACGAAUGCUAAUACCGCAUAAAAACUUUAAACACAAGUUUUAAGUUUGAAAGAUGCAAUUGCAUCACUCAAAGAUGAUCUCGCGUUGUAUUAGCUAGUUGGUGAGGUAAAGGCUCACCAAGGCGAUGAUACAUAGCCGACCUGAGAGGGUGAGCGGCCACAUUGGGACGGAGACACGGCCCAAACGCCUACGGGAGGCAGCAGUAGGGAAUCUUCGGCAAUGGACGAAAGUCUGACCGAGCAACGCCGCGUGAGUGAAGAAGGUUUUCGGAUCGUAAAACUCGGUUGGUAGAGAAGAACGUUGGUGAGAGUGGAAAGCUCAUCAAGUGACGGUAACUACCCAGAAAGGGACGGCUAACUACGUG
rnacentral:rRNA from 1 species